UACGUAGGGGCCUAGCGUUGUCUGGAUUUAUUGGGCGUAAAGAGUGUGUAGGCGGUUCUCUAAGUUCGGUGUGAAAUCUCCCGGCUCAACUGGGAGGGUGCGCCGGAAACUGGAGGGCUUGAGUAUGGGAGAGGAAAGCGGAAUUCCUGGUGUAGCGGUGAAAUGCGUAGAUAUCAGGAGGAACACCUGCGGUGUAGACGGCUUUCUGGACCAUCACUGACGCUGAGACACGAAAGCGUGGGGAGCAAACAGG
rnacentral:rRNA from 1 species